rnacentral:rRNA from 1 species
UACGGAGGGGGCUAGCGUUGCUCGGAAUCACUGGGCGUAAAGGGUGCGUAGGCGGGUCUUUAAGUCAGGGGUGAAAUCCUGGAGCUCAACUCCAGAACUGCCUUUGAUACUGAAGAUCUUGAGUUCGGGAGAGGUGAGUGGAACUGCGAGUGUAGAGGUGAAAUUCGUAGAUAUUCGCAAGAACACCAGUGGCGAAGGCGACUCUCUGGGCUGUAACUGACGCUGAGGCGCGAAAGCGUGGGUAGCAAACAGG